rnacentral:SRP_RNA from 1 species
GCUGGGCGUGGUGGCGCACGCCUGUAGUCCCAGCUACUCAGGAGGCUGAGGCAGGAGAAUCACUUGAACCCGGGAGGCGGAGAUUGCAGUGAGCCGAGAUCAUGGCCACUGCAUUCCAUCUUGGGUGACAGAGUGAGACCCUGUCUCAA